rnacentral:rRNA from 1 species
GACGAACGCUGGCGGCGUGCCUAAUACAUGCAAGUCGAACGCACUGGGGACGGGUGAGUAACACGUGGGUAACCUCUCCUCAGAGGGGAUAACACUUGGAAACAGGUGCUAAACCGACAUUGAUGGAUGGACUCGCGGUGCAUUAGCUAGUUGGUGAGGUAACGGCUCACCAAGGCCACGAUGCAUAGCGGACCUGUGAGGAGGGUCGGCACCACUGGGACUGAGACACGGCCCAGACUCCAACGGGAGGCGGCAGUAGGGAAUCUUCGGCAAUGGACGAGAGUCUGACCGAGCAACGCCGCGUGAGUGAAGAAGGUUUUCGGAUCGUAGAACUCUGUUGUUAGAGAAGCGGUAUCUAACCAGAAAGCCACGGCUAACUACGUGCCAGCAGCCGCGUUAAUAC